AAAGGAAAGAACUUUUGAAAAAUAAAAUCAAACGAAAAGAAAAGAAAAACAAAAAAAUCAGGUCACUCUCUUUCCUUUUGUCUUCUUCCUUCCUUUUUUUUCUCUUCUCUCUCU
rnacentral:ribozyme from 13 species